rnacentral:rRNA from 1 species
UACGUAGGCGGAAAAUUAAGUCAGUAGUGAAAUCCUGCAGCUUAACUGUAGAACUGUUAUUGAUACUGGUUUUCUUGAAUAUAGUUGAAGUAGGCGGAAUGUGUAAUGUAGCGGUGAAAUGCUUAGAUAUUACACAGAACACCGAUUGCGAAGGCAGCUUACUAAGCUAUGAUUGACGCUGAGGUGCGAAAGCGUGGGGAGCGAACAGGAUUAGAUACCCUGGUAGUCC